UACGUAGGGUGCAAGCGUUGUCCGGAAUUAUUGGGCGUAAAGAGCUCGUAGGCGGUUUGUCGCGUCGAAUGUGAAAUCCCGGGGCUCAACCCCGGGUCUGCAUUCGAUACGGGCAGACUAGAGUUCGGUAGGGGAGUCUGGAAUUCCUGGUGUAGCGGUGAAAUGCGCAGAUAUCAGGAGGAACACCGGUGGCGAAGGCAGCACUCUGGGACGGUACUGACGCUGAGACGCGAAAGCGUGGGGAGCGAACAGG
rnacentral:rRNA from 1 species